rnacentral:rRNA from 1 species
CCUACGGGGUGCUGCAGUGAGGAAUAUUGGUCAAUGGGCUUACGCCUGAACCAGCCAAGUCGCGUGAGGGAAGACUGCCCUAUGGGUUGUAAACCUCUUUUGUCAGGGAGCAACGCCGGCUACGUGUAGCCGGACUGAGAGUACCUGAAGAAAAAGCAUCGGCUAACUCCGUGCCAGCAGCCGCGGUAAUACGGAGGAUGCGAGCGUUAUCCGGAUUUAUUGGGUUAAAAGGGUGCGUAGGCGGAAUGCCAAGUCAGCGGUAAAAUCGCGGGGCUCAACCUCGCUCCGCCGUUGAAACUGGCGUUCUUGAGUGGGCGAGAAGUAUGCGGAAUGCGUGGUGUAGCGGUGAAAUGCAUAGAGAUCACGCAGAACUCCGAUUGCGAAGGCAGCAGACCGGCGCCCAACUGACGCUGAAGUACGAAAGCGUGGGUAGCGAACAGGAUUAGAUACCCCAGUAGUC